CGCAAAGCACAUGCAAUUCGCACACGUGCACACACACACACACGCACACACACGCACACACACACGCACACACACGCACACACACACGCACACACACCCAUACGCGCACGCAUGCCACCACAGCGAAUAGGUGCACGCAAUGCUUGACUGCGGCCCUGUCUAUGUGUGUCCAAGUAUCCCACUCCAUGUAUACUGCAUAGAAAAGGCGGAGAGAACAAACCCACCAAAAAAAAAAGAAAACAAGGCACGAGGCUCACGUCUCUUACCCGCGCUCCACACCAAGAAAGAUGGCUGUGCUGGUGGUGGGCGAACACAGCGAGAGGCGAAGAAGGAAAAGGCGUAGCUGAGAGCUGACGGACAGCGAGCAGGGACCUGAGAACGUUUGCUUUCUAGUAUCGAAGGACCCAGCUCUGCGAGGUGGUGCCGCCUGUGACGUGCUGGACCACGGCACAGCUCGUUUCGUCGGCCACCUCUUGACCUCUCUCUCUCUCGCCGUACUCAAAGUGUGUGCGUGCGCUCGACGUCACUUCAGUGACAGUGUUCCCCCUUCCACGCACCUACCGUGUCGUGCUCGAGCCGUGCACCAGGAGUGUUGUAUCAGCAUCAUACAUCGCUCCUAUUCAGCGGAAACUUUCCGAACCGCUGUCCGCAGCCGAAGCGCUCAACCGCUUGGCCGAGAAGCCCCCUCCUCAGGCUCUCUGGACUCAUGGCUCGGCGGCGUUCUAGCGGGUUGUGGCGGACGGGCGCGCUUCUGACCUAUGAGAGUUUUCGAUCCUUUUCGAAGGCCAACGCUAUCACAGUGAGCAGCUCCGUGCUCAUAGAAGAGUCGCCUUGCACUGCCGGCUCUUCUCCCCCCUCCUGCGACUGGAGCUCACCAGUUUACAGGCGAUCAAGCGACUGCCUCGCCCCGACUGCGUCCCGGAACGACUCUUGUGACUGUUGCGUCUUGCACGUGCGGCAAGUGCGCCGCGGUCACAAACUGCAGGUAGCACAGCUGCUAAAAGAAAUGGUGCUCCUGGAAGCGAUGAAAACAAUAGUGAUGUGCAUGGCGAGUUUCGAGUUUCUCUCACAUGAUACGCUCAUUAUCCCUGCAGUGGCAGCAGUACCACCCGCUUCUUUAGUCGAGGACGGCAUGGAAUUGUGGAUGCAUCUCGCCUCGGAACUGGUAGCUGGGCUGUGGCACGGCAGUCCGAGAACGUGCGACAGCUGUGCUGGUGCACUGCUCUCUCCUUGUCUUUCCCUGCACCCGCCCACCUGUGCGAGCUCAGCGUCUUUUUUGCACAACUGCGCAGUCUCGAGAAAAUUGGACGAGCUCACCGAGCUGACGACGACGUCGUCGUCACUCUCCACGCAAUACCUCCUUCUGUGGUCGCCUGGGAAGCGUGCAUGGGUGCUGGAGGUCCGCCUCGCAUGACCAUCAAAGCCCGCGCCACCUGCUGGUGGCAAUGCCUCCUAGCCAGCAGACGUCUUUGAAGUGGCCUUAGGAGUGCGUCACACAGGAGUGAGUAGGCCAAGUAACGUUGGCGAGGCAAGGAAUGACGAAUGGUGGUGGCGUCGUCGCCCCGACCCCACCACUGCUCUCCCUGGCUCGCUUUGUGCUGCCGCUUUUGCUGUCCCUCUGCGCUCUCAUUGUCUUGGGGUGCUCCGGCGUUGCAACGUGACGAUCACGCCGACGUGUAUGCAAGCACGGCCACAUCAGAGGCACAGGCAAUGAACCUGCUGACGUGCGGAGGAGACGAACCACAAAACAAACGCCAAAGAGCGCUGGUAAGAGCAGAUGCUGGUGCGCCAGCAGUGCGUGACGGCAACAUUUUGUGCCUCUCAACCGUGCCUUGUAUACACGAGGGGCAGUGAUGGCAGCGUCAGAGGCCUCGUCGCGGGUGCACCCUGAAUCAAGCAAGGGUAUCCGGUCUCACGAGGUCAUCUUGCUUCAUAGCGCCUUGACUGAGAAGCGCUGGUUCCGCCCUCGCCUGCAUGUCCUAUGCGGCUGUAAAAGGAGUGGCAUCAGCCAUCGGUCUUUUGUUUUCUAUCUCAUCACUUCCACCGUUUCGCCCAUCAUCAUGACGCUGCGUUUUCGUUGUGUGCAUUACCAUCUUCCUCCGUUUGAUCGUUGGACGGCCCUGCCAG
rnacentral:misc_RNA from 1 species